AUGAUGAGAGAAAGUUUGAAAAUGUUUAUGGUUAUUUAAAUGAACAACCAUGAUUUUAAAACAACUAGGGCGGACUGAUUAU